AGAGUUUGAUCCUGGCUCAGGAUGAACGCUGGCGGCGUGCCUAAUACAUGCAAGUCGAGCGGACCUCUUCGGAGGUUAGCGGCGGACGGGUGAGUAACACGUGGGUAACCUGCCUAUAAGACUGGGAUAACUUCGGGAAACCGAAGCUAAUACCGGAUAGGUUUUUGAGUCGCAUGACUUGAAAUGGAAAGACGGUUUCGGCUGUCACUUAUAGAUGGACCCGCGUCGCAUUAGCUAGUUGGUGAGGUAACGGCUCACCAAGGCGACGAUGCGUAGCCGACCUGAGAGGGUGAUCGGCCACACUGGGACUGAGACACGGCCCAGACUCCUACGGGAGGCAGCAGUAGGGAAUCUUCGGCAAUGGGCGAAAGCCUGACCGAGCAACGCCGCGUGAGUGAUGAAGGCUUUCGGGUCGUAAAACUCUGUUGUCAGGGAAGAACAAGUACGAGAGUAACUGCUCGUACCUUGACGGUACCUGAUUAGAAAGCCACGGCUAACUACGUGCCAGCAGCCGCGGUAAUACGUAGGUGGCGAGCGUUAUCCGGAAUUAUUGGGCGUAAAGCGCGCGCAGGCGGUUCCUUAAGUCUGAUGUGAAAGCCCACGGCUCAACCGUGGAGGGUCAUUGGAAACUGGGGAACUUGAGUGCAGAAGAGAAGAGCGGAAUUCCACGUGUAGCGGUGAAAUGCGUAGA
rnacentral:rRNA from 1 species